rnacentral:ncRNA from 1 species
UAGACCGUCUCGGGGUGCUCUCAAUAUUGAGGGCUGAGAUUACACCCGCCGAACCUGCUCGGGGUAAUACCCGCGGAGGGAAGACGAAGGCAAUCUAA